rnacentral:ncRNA from 1 species
CGGGGGUGCCGGCAGACUCCCCGUAUCCAGACGCUCCCCGCGUCCAAGCUCUGC